rnacentral:lncRNA from 1 species
GAGUUUUGCUCAAAACCAUUUUAGCCAAUAAACAGAUCAUCACAUCAGUGACCUGAUUUCCAGAGGAACAGCUCUCAAAGUCCACAGGAGGUGCUCAGCAU